CGGACGGGUGAGUAAUGUCUGGGAAACUGCCUGAUGGAGGGGGAUAACUACUGGAAACGGUAGCUAAUACCGCAUAACGUCGCAAGACCAAAGAGGGGGACCUUCGGGCCUCUUGCCAUCAGAUGUGCCCAGAUGGGAUUAGCUAGUAGGUGGGGUAACGGCUCACCUAGGCGACAAUCCCUAGCUGGUCUGAGAGGAUGACCAGCCACACUGGAACUGAGACACGGUCCAGACUCCUACGGGAGGCCAGCAUGU
rnacentral:rRNA from 1 species